CUAUGGGGGGCAGCAGCGGGGAAUAUUGCACAAUGGAGGAAACUCUGAUGCAGCAACGCCGCGUGGAGGAUGACACUUUUCGGAGCGUAAACUCCUUUUAUAUAGGAAGAAGAUGACGGUACUAUAUGAAUAAGCGCCGGCUAACUCCGUGCCAGCAGCCGCGGUAAUACGGAGGGCGCAAGCGUUACUCGGAAUCACUGGGCGUAAAGAGCGUGUAGGCGGAUUAAAAAGUCAGAAGUGAAAUCCUAUAGCUUAACUAUAGAACUGCUUCUGAAACUCUUAAUCUAGAAUAUGGGAGAGGUAGAUGGAAUUUCUGGUGUAGGGGUAAAAUCCGUAGAGAUCAGAAGGAAUACCGAUUGCGAAGGCGAUCUACUAGAACAUUAUUGACGCUGAGACGCGAAAGCGUGGGGAGCAAACAGGAUUAGAUACCCUAGUAGUC
rnacentral:rRNA from 1 species